rnacentral:rRNA from 1 species
CCGGGAAACCGGGGCUAAUACCGGAUGGUUGUUUGAACCGCAUGGUUCAAACAUAAAAGGUGGCUUCGGCUACCACUUACAGAUGGACCCGCGGCGCAUUAGCUAGUUGGUGAGGUAACGGCUCACCAAGGCAACGAUGCGUAGCCGACCUGAGAGGGUGAUCGGCCACACUGGGACUGAGACACGGCCCAGACUCCUACGGGAGGCAGCAGUAGGGAAUCUUCCGCAAUGGACGAAAGUCUGACGGAGCAACGCCGCGUGAGUGAUGAAGGUUUUCGGAUCGUAAAGCUCUGUUGUUAGGGAAGAACAAGUACCGUUCGAAUAGGGCGGUACCUUGACGGUACCUAACCAGAAAGCCACGGCUAACUACGUGCCAGCAGCCGCGGUAAUACGUAGGUGGCAAGCGUUGUCCGGAAUUAUUGGGCGUAAAGGGCUCGCAGGCGGUUUCUUAAGUCUGAUGUGAAAGCCCCCGGCUCAACCGGGGAGGGUCAUUGGAAACUGGGGAACUUGAGUGCAGAAGAGGAGAGUGGAAUUCCACGUGUAGCGGUGAAAUGCGUAGAGAUGUGGAGGAACACCAGUGGCGAAGGCGACUCUCUGGUCUGUAACUGACGCUGAGGAGCGAAAGCGUGGGGAGCGAACAGGAUUAGAUACCCUGGUAGUCCACGCCGUAAACGAUGAGUGCUAAGUGUUAGGGGGUUUCCGCCCCUUAKUGCUGCAGCUAACGCAUUAAGCACUCCGCCUGGGGAGUACGGUCGCAAGACUGAAACUCAAAGGAAUUGACGGGGGCCCGCACAAGCGGUGGAGCAUGUGGUUUAAUUCGAAGCAACGCGAAGAACCUUACCAGGUCUUGACAUCCUCUGACAAUCCUAGAGAUAGGACGUCCCCUUCGGGGGCAGAGUGACAGGUGGUGCAUGGUUGUCGUCAGCUCGUGUCGUGAGAUGUUGGGUUAAGUCCCGCAACGAGCGCAACCCUUGAUCUUAGUUGCCAGCAUUCAGUUGGGCACUCUAAGGUGACUGCCGGUGACAAACCGGAGGAAGGUGGGGAUGACGUCAAAUCAUCAUGCCCCUUAUGACCUGGGCUACACACGUGCUACAAUGGACAGAACAAAGGGCAGCGAAACCGCGAGGUUAAGCCAAUCCCACAAAUCUGUUGUCAGUUUGGAUUGCAGUCCUCAACUCGGAAGUCGGAACAAGGUAUCCGUAGAGUUUGAUCCUGGCUCAGGAAGUCGUAACAAGGUACCCGUAGAGUUUGAUCCUGGCUCAGGAAGUCGUAACAAGGUAGCCGU